GGGCCCAGAGUGAGACACUGAAGACCAGCACUGAGGCCAUCACAGAUCCAAACACUGACCCCAGUACUGUGUGUACCCUGGAACACCGAUCAACCAGGACAUAGUGAAGGAGAAGAAACAGAAGAGGGCUAUUAUACUGACCAAAGAUGAGAAGAACAUGGCCGCCUUAGAGAAAACCUGCCAGGCCUUUAGGUCCGACCAGACGGAGUAUGAGCGGUUUCUGGAUCACAUGACUCUCUGGCUCCAGGAGCACCAGGAACAGGCAGUGGAGCUGUUCAGCCUGUGUGAUACAGACAGCCCUGGUACCAUCGGCCCCGAGGACUUUGAGCAGGGUAAUCCAUCCCUCUUCUGGUCUGUUACACCCUCAUUCCCAGCCAAAUGACCCAAUAUCUGCUGGAAAUUCUAUCUCAACGCUUUCAUCUGGGGCUCAUGGCUGCAAUUAAGGUAUGACAGAUUUGGGGAUUCCAUGUCUGCAAUUUCAGCUGGAUCUGCUGCCUCAGCUACUGAGGAGAGGCAACGAUGGGGAGAUUGAUUACAGGGACAUGAGCAAACAACUACAGACAGUAAUGUAAAGCAAAAUCAGCAUUUUAUACUAUUCAAAUCAAAUCAAAUUGUAUUUGUCACAUGCGCCGAAUACAACAGGGGUAGACAUUACAGUGAAAUGCGUACUUACAAGCCCUAACCAACAAUGCAGUUAAAUAAAAGUAACAAAUAAUUAAAGAGCAGCAGUAAAAUAACAAUAGCGAGGCUAUGUACAGGGAUGCCGGUACAGAGUGUGGGGGCACCGUUUAGUCGGUGUAAUUGAGGUAAUAUGUACAUGUAGGUAGAGUUAUUAAUGUGACUAUACAUAGAUACGUAAUAACAGAGAGUAGCAGCAGUGUAAAGGGGGGGGGCAAUGC